rnacentral:rRNA from 12 species
CGUACCUUUUGUAUAAUGGGUCAUCGACUUGGUCUAUCUAGCAAGCUUAAGCCGUUAGGUGUAGGCGCAGCGAAAGCGAGUCUUAAUAGGGCGCAUGAGUUAGAUGGAUCAGACCCGAAACCGAGUGAUCUAGGCAUGAUCAGGAUGAAGGUAAGGUAACACUUACUGGAGGUCCGAACCCACACCUGUUGAAAAAGGUCGGGAUGAAUUGUGCCUAGGGGUGAAAGGCC